rnacentral:rRNA from 1 species
AGUGAACGCUGGCGGCAGGCCUAAUACAUGCAAGUCGAACGGCAGCACAGCAGAGCUUGCUCUGUGGGUGGCGAGUGGCGGACGGGUGAGGAAUACGUGGGAAUCUGCCCAGUCGUGGGGAUAACGUAGGGAAACUUACGCUAAUACCGCAUGCGCCCUUCGGGGGAAAGCCGGGGACCUUCGGGCCUGGCGCGAUUGGAUGAGCCCACGUCGGAUUAGCUAGUUGGCGGGGUAAAGGCCCACCAAGGCGACGAUCCGUAGCUGGUCUGAGAGGAUGAUCAGCCACACUGGAACUGAGACACGGUCCAGACUCCUACGGGAGGCAGCAGUAGGGAAUAUUGGACAAUGGGCGCAAGCCUGAUCCAGCCAUGCCGCGUGAGUGAAGAAGGCCCUCGGGUUGUAAAGCUCUUUGUCCGGAAAGAAAAGCGCCGGGUUAAUACCCUGGUGUCCUGACGGUACCGGAAGAAUAAGCACCGGCUAACUCGUGCCAGCAGCCGCGGUAAU